rnacentral:tRNA from 2 species
GGCAAGAUGGCCGAGUGGUUAUGGCGUGUGACUCAAGUUCUCAUGGGCUUUGCCCGCGGGGGUUCGAAUCCCCCUCUUGUCA